rnacentral:rRNA from 1 species
UACCAGCACCCCGAGUGGUCGGGACGAUUAUUGGGCCUAAAGCAUCCGUGGCCGGUUCUACAAGUCUUCCGUUAAAUCCACCUGCUUAACAGAUGGGCUGCGGAGGAUACUAUAGAGCUAGGAGGCGGGAGAGGCAAGCGGUACUUAGUGGGUAGGGGUAAAAUCCGUUGAUCCAUUGAAGACCACCAGUGGCGAAGGCGGCUUGCCAGAACGCACUCGACGGUGAGGGAUGAAAGCUGGGGGAGCAAACCGG